rnacentral:rRNA from 1 species
UCCUUCGGGAGCACCGGCGGACUGCUCAGUAACACGUGGACAACCUACCCUCGGGUGGGGGAUAACCUCGGGAAACUGAGGCUAAUACCCCAUAGGCCUCGGAUACUGGAAGGUUCCGAGACCGAAAGCUCCGGCGCCCGAGGAUGGGUCUGCGGCCUAUCAGGUAGUUGGUGGUGUAAAGGACCACCAAGCCUACGACGGGUACGGGCCCUGAGAGGGGGAGCCCGGAGAUGGACUCUGAGACACGAGUCCAGGCCCUACGGGGCGCAGCAGGCGCGAAACCUUCGCAAUGCGCGAAAGCGCGACGAGGGGAGCCCGAGUGCCCUUCCUUUCGGGAGGGCUUUUCUGGAGCCUAAAAAGCUCCAGGAAUAAGGGCUGGGCAAGACGGGUGCCAGCCGCCGCGGUAAUACCCGCAGCUCGAGUGGUGGCCACUAUUAUUGAGCCUAAAGCGUCCGUAGCCGGACCCGUAAAUCCCUGGGUAAAUCCUGGCGCUCAACGUCAGGAAUUCCGGGGAGACUGCGGGUCUUGGGACCGGGAGAGGCCGGAGGUACUCCCGGGGUAGGGGUAAAAUCCUGUAAUCCCGGGGGGACCACCUGUGGCGAAAGCGUCCGGCUUGAACGGCUCCGACGGUGAGGGACGAAGGCCAGGG